CGCCCCCAUUACCUCAUACGGGGAUGGCCUUGCCCCCUAGUACCUUGCGCUGCUGAUGGCCCUGCUCACUGUUCCAUCACACUGGGACCCUAUGCAAGGGGAAAGUCCAGCUGUGUAAGAUGGCUGCUGCUGCCAUGGAGGACGAGUAUUUCUAAUGUGGCUGGUGAAAUUGCCUCUUGUAAGAAUCUGUCACAGUUCAGUGCUAUUUUCCCUGAGUUAAAUGAGUAGCGACCAAACCAGGAAAAUGUACUCUGUGGGAGACAAUCUAUGAGCCCUACUGACUGUGUAGUACAUGAAUCUCACCACAACAUACAAGAAAAAACAACCAAUGCAGUGCUCAGGAGAGUGUUUUGUCACAUCUGCUAAAGCUUUUCCGUCAGCUGUCCGUACCCAGCAAGCCCAGUUUAGAUGAGGCUGAUAAAAGAGCUCUUGUAAUGCUACUACUGAUUGCCAGUCAUCUUUGAAACACUGCUCAGGAUCCAGAUGUCUGAUGUCAUGGCAAGGCCAAUCCUCUCCAUUUAUCACUAUUCCUAAGGAAAAAAUAUAACCCUCUUAAUAGAGAAUUAAAUAAACAUAGCUUAUCUCGAGAUAUAUGGUCAUUUGGGAGUUAGUUUUUGCUGACUGGCCUAUGCCUUAGCCUGUGCUUAUCAAAAUGAUCAAAAUGAUCAAAAUACUGAGCUGAUGCAGUUAAUAGUUGUCAACGUGACAUAUAUUUGACCUGGGACUUGAUGAAUGCAGAAGAAUAUAAAACUGAUGUGAAAUAUGAUGUAAUUAGAAGCUACCUAACUGAUGUGAAACACUGAUUUUAAUUAGAAACUAACUGAUUAUCUUAAACUGAGAAUUCAUAAAUUAGUGAGGAAGUAAAAAUAAUUUCUUGAGAUACUGAGUCUCAUUCUUUGGAAAAGAGAAGACAGAGCUGUGGGGCGUAUAUAGCUGCUGUCAGGGUGUCUGGUGUGGGAGAAACCUGUGGGUCUGCCUGCUGCCCAGAGACACAUCUCUAAUGGGGACAGCAAGAUGCAAUGGGAACAGCAAGGUGCCAGUGCUGCUCUGCAAGGAGCAUCCUCUGAGCACCGCAGCCUCACUGACUGACUCUCAUGGGAGAUGAAUUCACACUGCCUGAUUGGUUAAGGGUCGUGGAGAGCUCCUUUUCUAAGACUGAAAGAAGUUGCAUGGUUUAGCUCAUCAAAGUGAAGAGUAACUGAAGAUAUUACUGCUGGCUUGAAGUACACCAGAGAACAGAUUCAGGGAAGGAAGAGGUUGAUACUAAAAGACAAUUUUACCACAGGAAUGACUGCAUGUAAUCAAAGAAUGUAAUUUAUGUUGAGUAUAAAGUGUAAGUAUGGGGUUCUGGAGGUGUCUCCCAGCAGCAGGCUCACUGUAGAUGCUGUUUUCAGAGGGAGUUCAGAAUAUUUGUGAUACUGUGACUUGUGAUAGCAGUGGAAAAGAACUUGAUAAUUCUUGAUGUUCUUUUCCCAUGCUAAUCUCCUACGCAGUCCAAACAGGGAUUAAUUCAGGGGAAGUCCUAGGGUCUGUGUUUAUAGAAAAAGCAAGAGAAGAUAAUUAAUUUAGAACUGAUCUGGCUGGGAGACACCAUUACAUGGGGCUGUCCUGCCCACCAGUCUGUUCAGCAGCUUUUCUACUGAAACACUAGAAACCCUCUCUGCUUGAAUCAGUGUCUACCGCCUACCACCAAUAGGGCCCACUAAACCAUGUCCCUAAGUACCACAUCUCCAUGUUUCCUGAACACCUCCAGGGAUGGUGACUCCACCACCUCCCUGGGCAGCCUCUUCUAAUGCAUUACCACCACAGAUGGUUCUUGGAGCAACGGUUUCCUCCCGGGCAGUUUGAUUUCCUCACAGAAAUCUGCAAGUGAACCUUGUGCCUUAAUUUUCAUAGCUCAACAUGUGUAGGUGUUAACGAGUCAGCUGUGAGGCAGCCCGUGCACUGUGCUGAGCUGUGAAUUGUUCUGUGAGUACACCUCAAAAGGUCAUCGCUGAAGAUGGAACUCUGGAACAUACCAGACAAUAAUUAUGGUGUGUGCUAUUGUAUUUAAAAUUCUAGCUUACAGUGGAGAAUCUUCAGGCAGAAUGAAGCCGCGCUGAGCGGCUGCAGUUGUGCAGACAGUAUCCUGUCAUACCAUCUAGUGGCCUGCUGGGAUACAGCAUGCUGUGGAAGUUAGCCAGCUUCAGGAGAAGGCAGUUAUUAUUCAUACAUAAAUUAUUCUUAAUUUAUGAUUGUCAUUUGUGCACCCCAACAAAAAUGCAUUUACAAUGAAUUUCUUGGAUGAAGGGAAGAUAUUAAUAAUGUUAUGGAUGAUUUAAAAUGGAAAGCUGGGAGAAAGGAGGUAGAACCUAUUCUCUGCUUCAGCCAAACCAGUGUGGUCAGCCAGACAAACGUUGUGUAAGUAUCAGAAGCUUCUCUGCAUUAGAAUCAUUAAAGCCUAACAUUACUACAUGUGACCUGUAUAUUAUGGCAAAGCACAUCUCUGUAGUGCUAUUUAUAAUUUACUUUUUGAUGAAAUAAGGUAACCCUUCCUCUUUCUCCUACUCUAAUUUUCUGAUAACCGUCUCUGAGAACUAACCUAGUAUGCUAGUUAAAAAUGGUUUUCCACCCCUGGCUGCACUGCCAUCCACAGAAGUUUGCACUGUCACACAUUUGAUUGGGAUGAAAAAGAAACCCAUUUAUUAUUUCAUUUUGUAAUUUAUUUUCUUUUAUUUUACUUAUUUAUUUGUACCAAAUAGAUGCACAAAACCCUGUGCUGUUACAAAGCAAGAUGUAGUUUGCAAUAGGAUGGAGCAGCUAGAGGCAGGAAAUGCCUUUUUUCAGCUACUUCAUCUUGGAAAUUUCUCCUUAGCCAAAGUGAUUUCUGACC